rnacentral:rRNA from 1 species
UACGUAGGGUGCAAGCGUUGUCCGGAAUUAUUGGGCGUAAAGAGCUCGUAGGCGGUUUGUCGCGUCUGCUGUGAAAACUCAGGGCUUAACCCUGAGCCUGCAGUGGGUACGGGCAGACUAGAGUGUGGUAGGGGAGAUCGGAAUUCCUGGUGUAGCGGUGGAAUGCGCAGAUAUCGGGAGGAACACCGGUGGCGAAGGCGGUUCUCUGGGCCUGUACUGACGCUGAGGAGCGAAAGCGUGGGGAGCGAACAGG